CCCCUGGUGGUCAAGUGGUUAAGGCGCGGCGCUGACAACGCCGAGGCCCGGGUUCAAUUCCCGGUCAGCACA